UACGGGGGGAGCAAGCGUUGUUCGGAUUUACUGGGCGUAAAGCGCGCGUAGGCGGCCCGGUAAGUCCGCUCUGAAAGUCCAGGGCUCAACCCUGGAAAGCGGGUGGAUACUGCCGGGCUAGAAUCCGGAAGAGGCGAGUGGAAUUCCUGGUGUAGCGGUGGAAUGCGCAGAUAUCAGGAGGAACACCGGUGGCGAAGGCGGCAUCCUGGACCAAACACUGACGCUGGAGUGAGCGAAAGCCCAGGGGGAGCCAAAACGGG
rnacentral:rRNA from 1 species